GACGAACGCUGGCGGCGUGCUUUAGGCAUGCAAGUCGAACGCGAAAGCCCCUUCGGGGGUGAGUAGAGUGGCGAACGGGUGAGUAACACGUGGGUAACCUGCCCCUCGCAGGGGGAUAACCGGGGGAAACCCCGGCUAAUACCCCGUACGCUUGCUGGGGCGCAUGCUCCGGCAAGGAAAGGUAGCUUCGGCCAUCCGGCGAGGGAGGGGCCCGCGGCCCAUUAGCUAGUUGGUGGGGUAACGGCCCACCAAGGCGACGAUGGGUAGCUGGCCUGAGAGGGGGGUCAGCCAAACUGGGACGGAGAAACGGCCCAGACCCCUACGGGAGGCAGCGGCGAGGAAUCUUGCGCAAGGGGGGAAAGCCUGACGCAGCAACGCGGGGUGGGGGAUGAAGGCCUUCGGGUCGUAAAGCCCUGUUGUCGGGGACGAAGGGCGAAGGGUUAAUAGCCCCUAGCCUGACGGUACCCGACGAGGAAGCCCCGGCGAACUACGUG
rnacentral:rRNA from 1 species